GAUCAUGGCUCAGAUUGAACGCUGGCGGCAUGCCUUACACAUGCAAGUCGAACGGUAGAGGAGCAAUCCUCGAGAGUGGCGAACGGGUGAGUAAUGCAUCGGAACGUGCCCAGUAGUGGGGGAUAGCCCGGCGAAAGCCGGAUUAAUACCGCAUGUUACCUGAGGGUGAAAGCGGGGGACUCGCAAGAGCCUCGCGCUACUGGAGCGGCCGAUGUCAGAUUAGCUAGUUGGUAGGGUAAAAGCCUACCAAGGCGACGAUCCUUAGCUGUUCUGAGAGGAAGAUCAGCCACACUGGGACUGAGACACGGCCCAGACUCCUACGGGAGGCAGCAGUGGGGAAUAUUGGACAAUGGGCGAAAGCCUGAUCCAGCCAUGCCGCGUGCGGGAAGAAGGCCUUCGGGUUGUAAACCGCUUUUGUCAGGGAAGAAAUCUUCUGGGCUAACACCUCGGGAGGAUGACGGUACCUGAAGAAUAAGCACCGGCUAACUACGUG
rnacentral:rRNA from 1 species